UACGUAGGUGACAAGCGUUGUCCGGAUUUACUGGGCGUAAAGAGCGCGCAGGCGGUCGAUCAAGUCGAGUGUGAAAGCCCCCGGCUCAACUGGGGAGGGUCAUUCGAUACUGAUCGACUGGAAGGCAGGAGAGGGAAGCGGAAUUCCUGGUGUAGUGGUGAAAUGCGUAGAUAUCGGGAGGAACACCAGUGGCGAAGGCGGCUUCCUGGCCUGUUCUUGACGCUGAGGCGCGAAAGCUAGGGGAGCAAACGGG
rnacentral:rRNA from 1 species